rnacentral:rRNA from 1 species
UACGGAGGGGACUAGCGUUGUUCGGAAUUACUGGGCGUAAAGCGCACGUAGGCGGAUUUGUAAGUCAGGGGUGAAAUCCCGGGGCUCAACCUCGGAACUGCCUUUGAUACUGCAAAUCUCGAGUCCGGAAGAGGUGAGUGGAAUUCCUAGUGUAGAGGUGAAAUUCGCAGAUAUCAGGAAGAACACCAAUGGCGAAGGCAGCCUUCUGGGCCAACACUGACGCUCAUGCACGAAAGCGUGGGGAGCAAACAGG